AGUGAACGCUGGCGGUAGGCCUAACACAUGCAAGUCGAACGGCGGCACAGGAGAGCUUGCUCUCUGGGUGGCGAGUGGCGGACGGGUGAGGAAUACAUCGGAAUCUACUUUUUCGUGGGGGAUAACGUAGGGAAACUUAUGCUAAUACCGCAUACGACCUACGGGUGAAAGCAGGGGACCUUCGGGCCUUGCGCGAUUGAAUGAGCCGAUGUCGGAUUAGCUAGUUGGCGGGGUAAAGGCCCACCAAGGCGACGAUCCGUAGCUGGUCUGAGAGGAUGAUCAGCCACACUGGAACUGGGACACGGUCCAGACUCCUACGGGAGGCAGCAGUGGGGAAUAUUGGACAAUGGGCGCAAGCCUGAUCCAGCCAUACCGCGUGGGUGAAGAAGGCCUUCGGGUUGUAAAGCCCUUUUGUUGGGAAAGAAAUCCAGCUGGCUAAUACCCGGUUGGGAUGACGGUACCCAAAGAAUAAGCACCGGCUAACUUCGUGCCAGCCGCCGCAGUAA
rnacentral:rRNA from 1 species